CGUUGUUGUUGUGCAGGAGACCCGGGAGCAGAGGAUCACUCAGUACCACGAAGAAGCCCACACCCCAUGUGUCCUGGGUCUGAGGGAGGGGUCGCUGCUGCUGGUGGAGGGAGACAAAGCCACGCUACUGGGAACCACCAAGGCCAGACUCUUCACCAGGGGAAAGCCCACAGUGGAGUACGACCCUGGUAGUGACCUCAGCUUCCUGCUGACACGUUGACCAAUCAGAAGAAAGCAGGAAAUGAAGACCUCACAUUUCACAACGUCAAUAAAGAUUCAAAGAGAAAUCUGCUUCUGCGAUCAUGUUUUCUGACUUUAGUUAAGAAGAAACUUAAGUUCUUUCACUCUGCUCUUUUCUACUUCUACUCCACUAAUAUGAAUAAUAAUAAUAAUAUUAAUAAUGUAUACUGUAAGGGGAAAUUACAAUGUUUCCACUCUGUUAAUACACACCCAGGUCCUAUACUUUCUUUCUUUCCUUGUUUCCUUUUUUCUUUCUUUCAAAAUACAAUUGAAUACUGGCCCCAAAAUGCAAAAUGCAUUCUGGUCUGGGUCUCAGAGACCCGCAAGCCGAGGCCACGCUAGUAGAGAUAUGCAGUUGAUGGGGAAACAGCUAGCUUAGCUUAGCAUAAAGACUGGAAAGAAGGGGAAACAGCUAGCUUAGCUUAGCAUACAGACUGGAAACAGCUAGCCUAACUCCAUCCAAAGGUAAACCUACCAGAUAUGAGAGGUGGUGAUGUUUUUAUCCAAAAUGUCCAAAUAGAAAAUUAAAGUGUAUAUUUUAUCAGAGCUUUCUGUGAUACGAGAGGAGAAUGCAACUGUAAUAACACUUCAUAUUAACUAUUAAUAAUUCAUAUAGUCCACUGGUUUAAAGAACUGGUUUCUUUUAAUUCUUAAAACUGAUGUGUUGGGUUCUUUAUUCAUCUGAUUUCCUUUACUAUAUAAUCAACUAAGCAUUCAAAAAUAAAAGACAUAUAGUC